rnacentral:rRNA from 1 species
GACGAACGCUGGCGGCGUGCUUAACACAUGCAAGUCGAACGGUAAGGCCCUUCGGGGUACACGAGUGGCGAACGGGUGAGUAACACGUGGGUGAUCUGCCCUGCACUUCGGGAUAAGCCUGGGAAACUGGGUCUAAUACCGGAUAGGCCCUCUGCCUGCAUGGUUGGUGGUGGAAAGCUUUUGCGGUGUGGGAUGGGCCCGUGGCCGAUGAGCUUGUCGGUGGGGUGAUGGUCGACCAAGGCGACGACGGGUAGCCGGCCUGAGAGGUGCGACCGGCCACACUGGGACUGAGAUACGGCCCAGACUCCUACGGGAGGCAGCAGUGGGGAAUAUUGCACAAUGGGCGCAAGCCUGAUGCAGCGACGCCGCGUGAGGGAUGACGGCCUUCGGGUUGUAAACCUCUUUCAGCACCGACGAAGCGCAAGUGACGGUAGGUGCAGAAGAAGGACCGGCCAACUACGUGCCAGCAGCCGCCGCCG